CUCUCAACUUUGCAGAGAAGUUAAGAGUGAGAUUGGCAGGGGCGUAGGAACCGGGAGGGCACGUAACCCCCCCCCCCCAAUUUUUUUAAAGGACUAAAAGUGCCGUUUUUUGUGAUGAAAAGUGCCCUUUUUUGUGAUGAAAAGUGCCCUUUUUGUACAAGCUAAUGUUGCUGUAAAUACUAAAUUAACAUCAAAGGUGCCGUUUUUGUUUGGAAAUUUCCAAGUUUUUUUUAAAAAUUUGGUCAAAAACGUGCCAGUCGG